GACGAACGUUGGCGGCGUGCUUAAUACAUGCAAGUCCACUGAAGCAGUGGUAGCAAUAUCGCUGUGGAGGUGGCGCACGGGUGAGUAACACGUAGGUAAUCUGCCUUCAGGUCUGGCAUAACUCCGGGAAACCGGGGCUAAUAGCAGAUGAUGCAGCGGCUCGACAUCGAGACAGUUGUUAAAGCUAUGGCGCCUGAAGAUGAGCCUGCGUCUGAUUAGCUAGUUGGCGGGGUAACGGCCCACCAAGGCAACGAUCAGUAGCUGGUCUGAGAGGAUGAUCAGCCACACUGGAGCUGAGAAACGGUCCAGGAUCCUACGGGAGGCAGCAGUAAGGAAUAUUGGUCAAUGGGAGAAAUCCUGAAGGCGCAACGCCGCGUGAGGGACGAAGGGCUUUUGCUUGUAAACCUCUGUAGUGAGAGAAAAAAAUCCCAAUCUUUGGGAAAUGAUGGUAUCUCAAAAGUAAGCCCCGGCUAACUACGUG
rnacentral:rRNA from 1 species